rnacentral:rRNA from 1 species
GAUGAACGCUGGCGGCGUGCCUAAUACAUGCAAGUCGAGCGAACGGACGAGAAGCUUGCUUUUCUGAUGUUAGCGGCGGACGGGUGAGUAACACGUGGAUAACCUACCUAUAAGACUGGGAUAACUUCGGGAAACCGGAGCUAAUACCGGAUAAUAUUUUGAACCGCAUGGUUCAAAAGUGAAAGACGGUCUUGCUGUCACUUAUAGAUGGAUCCGCGCUGCAUUAGCUAGUUGGUAAGGUAACGGCUUACCAAGGCAACGAUGCAUAGCCGACCUGAGAGGGUGAUCGGCCACACUGGAACUGAGACACGGUCCAGACUCCUACGGGAGGCAGCAGUAGGGAAUCUUCCGCAAUGGGGGGAAGCCUGACGGAGCAACGCCGCGUGAGUGAUUAAGGUCUUCGGAUCGUAAAACUCUGUUAUUAGGGAAGAACAUAUGUGUAAGUAACUGUGCACAUCUUGACGGUACCUAGUCAGAAAGCCACGGCUAACUACGUG